GCUAAUACCGGAUGGUUGUUUGAACCGCAUGGUUCAGACAUAAAAGGUGGCUUCGGCUACCACUUACAGAUGGACCCGCGGCGCAUUAGCUAGUUGGUGAGGUAACGGCUCACCAAGGCGACGAUGCGUAGCCGACCUGAGAGGGUGAUCGGCCACACUGGGACUGAGACACGGCCCAGACUCCUACGGGAGGCAGCAGUAGGGAAUCUUCCGCAAUGGACGAAAGUCUGACGGAGCAACGCCGCGUGAGUGAUGAAGGUUUUCGGAUCGUAAAGCUCUGUUGUUAGGGAAGAACAAGUGCCGUUCAAAUAGGGCGGCACCUUGACGGUACCUAACCAGAAAGCCACGGCUAACUACG
rnacentral:rRNA from 1 species